rnacentral:rRNA from 1 species
AGGACGAACGCUGGCGGCGUGCUUAACACAUGCAAGUCGAGCGGAAAGGCCCUUCGGGGUACUCGAGCGGCGAACGGGUGAGUAACACGUGAGCAACCUGCCCUUAGCUUCGGGAUAGCUCCGGGAAACCGGAAUUAAUACCGGAUAUGACUAUGGCCGACAUCAGCCAUGGUGGAAAGUUUUUCGGCUAGGGAUGGACUCGCGGCCUAUCAGCUAGUUGGUGAGGUAACGGCUCACCAAGGCGACGACGGGUAGCCGGCCUGAGAGGGCGACCGGCCACACUGGGACUGAGACACGGCCCAGACUCCUACGGGAGGCAGCAGUGGGGAAUAUUGCGCAAUGGGCGAAAGCCUGACGCAGCGACGCCGCGUGGGGGAUGAAUGCCUUCGGGUUGUAAACCCCUUUCAGCAGGACGAAGCGAAAGUGACGGUACCUGCAGAAGAAGCGCCGGCUAACUACGUGCCAGCAGCCGC